rnacentral:rRNA from 1 species
GACGAACGCUGGCGGCGUGCCUAAUACAUGCAAGUCGAACGCAGGGGGGACGGGUGAGUAACACGUGGGUAACCUCCCAUCAGAGGUGAUAACACUUGGAAACAGGUGCUAAACCGAUACCGGAGGAUGGAGCCGGGGUGCAUUAGCUAGUUGGUGGGGUAACGGCUCACCAAGGCUACGAUGCAUAGCCGGCCUGAGAGGUUGAUCAGCCACACUGGGACUGAGACACGGCCCAGACUCCUACGGGAGGCAGCAGUAGGGAAUCUUGGGCAAUGGGCGAAAGUCUGACCGAGCCACGCCGCGUGUGUGAAGAAGGUUUUCGGAUCGUAAAGCUCUGUUAGUUGGGAAGCGGUAUCUACCCAGAAAGCCCCGGCUAACUACGUGCCAGCAGCCGCGGUAAUUC